rnacentral:snoRNA from 1 species
GCACAAAUGUUAAGUGUCGUCACGCCUGCACGUGGCGCCGGGGGUUAAGCUGCAGCGCCAGAGCACAUGCUUGCGCAUAACUAAGUAUAAGUAGGAGGG